rnacentral:tRNA from 1 species
GGAAGAUGGCUCAGUGGAUAAGAGCUCUGGCUGCUCUUCUAGAGGUUCUGAGUUCAAUUCUCAGCAACCA